rnacentral:rRNA from 1 species
CCUACGGGAUGCUGCAGUGGGGGAUAUUGCACAAUGGGGGAAACCCUGAUGCAGCGACGCCGCGUGUGGGAAGACGGUCCUCUGGAUUGUAAACCACUGUCCCCAGGGACGAAGAUGACGGUACCUGGGGAGGAAGCUCCGGCUAACUACGUGCCAGCAGCCGCGGUAAUACGUAGGGAGCGAGCGUUGUCCGGAAUUACUGGGGGUAAAGGGAGCGUAGGCGGGGAUGCAAGGUGGGUGUCAAAACUACCGGCUCAACUGGUAGUGGAACUCAAAACUGCAGCUCUUGAGUGAAGUAGAGGCAGGCGGAAUACCUAGUGUAGCGGUGAAAUGCGUAGAUAUUAGGAGGAACACCAGUGGCGAAGGCGGCCUGCUGGGCUUUUACUGACGCUGAGGCUCGAAAGUGUGGGGAGCAAACAGGAUUAGAUACCCUAGUAGUC